UUAACAAGGCCUGUAUGUAGUGACAAUGACUGGAAGCUUCGUGAAUGGUGCCUACUCUGCACAGUGUUUACAUGUCUGACAUUAGGCAGCGAGGCUGCACAAUGAUUACUGGUGCAUAGAGUUUACUGGAUGUAUCCUGGAUGUGUUUCUCAUUUCAGACAGCUUCACUUCACUAAUGGCGUCCAUAAAACCAUAUCACUCUCAUGAGCAAUGUUCAUACCUUAAGGCACAGGUAUUUGGAAACCAACGAAGAAUCACAGAUCCUCUACUGUACCUUACAAUGGGCACAAGGAGUUUUUCCACAUAUUUGUCUUUUAUUCUGAUACGGCACCAUUAGCCUCUACAGUGUUCUAUAUUGUGGACUGCUGGGGGAGCGGCUUGACUGGAGUGGGACAGAAGUAGACUGGACAGGCUGGUCAGGAGUACCGGUUCAGCUGUGGGCUGUCCCCUGGACUCUACAGUGGAGGUGGGGAAGAGGAGGAUGUUGGCUGUACUGACAUCUAUCAUGAACAACAUCUCUCAUCCCCCUCUAUGACACUGUGGGUGCUUGGAGCAGCUCCUUCAGCAUCUGGCGUCAGCUGCUACAGUACAGGAAGGAAUGCUUGAGAAGGUCCUUCCUCCCAUCAUGUUUAAGACUUUAUAAUAAAAACCUGUAAAUGUA